rnacentral:rRNA from 1 species
GACGAACGCUGGCGGCGUGCUUAACACAUGCAAGUCGAACGGGCCUUGUCCCCUUUUUUUUGGGGGUGGGGUUAGUGGCGAACGGGUGAGUAACACGUGAGUAACCUGCCCCUCACUUCUGGAUAACCGCUUGAAAGGGUGGCUAAUACGGGGUGUUCUGGCCUGCUCGCAUGGGUGGGUUUGGAAAGAUUCGACCGGUUUUGGUUGUUUUGGUGGGGGAUGGGCUCGCGGCCUAUCAGCUUGGUGGUGGGGUGAUGGCCUGCCAAGGCUUUGACGGGUAGCCGGCCUGAGAGGGUGGGCGGUCACACUGGGACUGAGACACGGCCCAGACUCCUACGGGAGGCAGCAGUGGGGAAUAUUGCACAAUGGGCGCAAGCCUGAUGCAGCGACGCCGCGUGAGGGAUGGAGGCCUUCGGGUUGUGAACCUCUUUCGCCAGUGAAGAAGGUCCUGCUCUUUGUGGUGGGGUUGACGGUAGCUGGGUUAAUGAAGCGCCGGCUAACUACGUG